rnacentral:lncRNA from 1 species
AAUCGAAGAAUUAAACUUGCAUAAAAGUAGAAAAAUAGGUUCGAGUUACCACAUAGGGUUCCAAUAAAAUCCUAGAAUAAAAACUUAGCUACUCAUGUUCGUUACGAAAAGCAUAAUAAAAAUACGAAAAUUCAUAAAAAUCAGAAAAGAAAAGGAAAAAGGAAAACUAGGAUGAAGAGUCGUCAAGUCUUCGUCUUCGUUCUCUUGCUCCUUGAUUGCGUGUAGAAAAGAUAAAAAACUAAAAACUAAUAAUAACGAUAAAAGGUAAAAGAUAGAUCUAAUUGUGUGCUCUUGGCCUUUAAAUAGGGUGCAAAAAUAUAAUAGGGCGGGUUUCCUUGUGUAAUUAAAAUUCUUUCACUGCGCCUUCGCGUCCACCCGGACGGCCGUGUGAGAUUUUGAACUAAAAUCCGCACGGCCGUGCGGUCUUUUAAUUCUUCAGAAAUCUGAUUUUUUCACUUUUGGCCCACUUUUUCUCUGAAUUUGCAGUUUUCACCCCAAAAGUUGCCAAUUCUUCAAUUUGCACCUAAAAUACAAUUAAUAACCAUAUUAAGCACCAAUUAUCGUAAAAACACAUCAAAAGCUCCAAUUAAAAGGUACAAUUAAGUGUAUAAAUAUACACUUAACA